rnacentral:rRNA from 1 species
UACGAAGGGUGCAAGCGUUACUCGGAAUUACUGGGCGUAAAGCGUGCGUAGACGGUUAUGUAAGUCGGGUGUGAAAGCCCCGGGCUCAACCUGGGAAUUGCAUUCGAGACUGUGUAGCUAGGGUACGGAAGAGGGAAGCGGAAUUUCAGGUGUAGCGGUGAAAUGCGUAGAUAUCGUAAGGAAGACCAGUGGCGAAGGCGGGUCUCUGGACAGGUUCCUGACGCUGAGGCACGAAGGUCAGGGGAGCGGAACGGGG